UACGAAGGUGGCAAGCGUUACUCGGAAUUACUAGGCGUAAAGGGCAGGUAGGUGGUUUGAUAAGUCUGUUGUGAAAGCUCCCGGCUCAACUGGGAGAGGCCAACAGAAACUAUCAGGCUUGAGUAUGGGAGAGGGUACUGGAAUUCCACGUGUAGCGGUGAAAUGCGUAGAGAUGUGGAGGAACACCAGUGGCGAAGGCGACUCUUUGGCCUAUAACUGACGCUGAGGCGCGAAAGCGUGGGGAGCGAUCCGG
rnacentral:rRNA from 1 species